UUGCGCCCAGGAUGCAAACCGGUGAAACUACAGGCUGCCAAAGUGGGGUGUGUGAACUUAACCACUCGGCCGAGGGGCCUGCCCCUGAAGUUCUUAACCACAGAAUAUUUUGUGUUAAAUGCCACAGUUAGAUAUUUUAAACGACUUUAAAAACUUAAUUUUGUUUUGAAUUCAAAACUCACAACACACUUAAAACUAAGAUUUAAAGGGCAUGUGUUGUUUCGUCAACUGAAAAGAACUACUUACUAAACUGAAGACACGUGGCUUUUUGAUAAUUUUACCUAAGGUGGAGAUACCAGUCAUUACUGACAGAUAGAAGCAAUGUGAAAUGUGAAAUAUCCUGUUUGUAUCCUAUUUGAGGAGAUGUUUACAAAACGAGUCAUAACAAAAAUUCCUACCUGCAACUAAGAUAUACAUGUACCAGGGGGGAUUUGGGGAGAUAAAGAAGAAAAAAAAAAUAUUCCUACUAUGACAAAAGAUUUUUAUCAUUCUUGUGGGGCCUAAAUAUUUAGACUUGAUUUCCCUAGGUAAUUGCAACCUUGGAAAAUGAAAACCAUACCAGGAUUCGGAAUGUGUUUUGCAAUCUGGUCCCAGUCAAAAUUGUGAACAAGGUGAAGUUUUUCUUUGAGACUAGGUCACUUCCCUUUGGUGUCUGAUACAGUACUCUCAUUCUAUUCCAGGGUUUCCUACUUAUGGAACAGGCUCCCAAAUCCUACAGGGUCUAGAUCGCUAAUGGGUGAUGAUUUGCUAAUCCUGUGCAGUAAACUGUGCUGCUGUGUGUCGUUCCAACCAAUUGGAUAGGGUGCUGUGGACUAUGACUCCCUAACUCAGUGAGUGAAAAUUGCAGUCUCUUAGGAUAGUAGGAGACCACGCAGUGCCAGAAUCCCACCAGAGGUACCUCUUCAGUAACAAUUCCGCUGAUGGGAAGUCCACUACUUCAUCAGAUGGGGCAGUUUUAGAUGUCAGAAAGUUCUGUUUCGUAUUUAGCCAAAAUCAAGAGGUAUCAGGGUGUAGGAAAGUAAUCAGGAUGUUCAGGAAAGAACAUUAGCUUUGGAGAAGGUCUGAGCCCCAAUUCCAGCUUCACCAUUCACUGCCUGUGUGAAUCUGAGCAUGUUUUUUAACUUCGUGAACCUCAGUGAUCUGAUAAAAAGGAAUAAAUGAAAAAUCCCAAAAGAAUCAUGACAAUAUUAAAUAUUUGCAAAACGACAUAUAAUUCUGGGUACAUACAGAAGAUGCAAUAAAUACUAAUUUCAUCUUUUCUCCUAUUCUUCCUAGUCUAGUUCCUCCUAUAUGAAAUAUAAAAUUGUUCUGUUCCUUUUAUUUCAAAUGAAACUUUCCAAAUACCUAAACAUAAGUGUCAUGCUUCUCCUUUUACUAUUUUCUUUUGAGUCCAAAUAUCACCAUUUCUUUCAGCCAUUCCUUGUAUGGCGUGUUCUUCCAAUCCCUCGCUAUGCUGUUUCUUUCAGAGAAGCACAUUCUACUUUAUGAAUAUCUUCAGAGAAUUGUGGUGCCUGUAAUUGGGGAUGGCUCCCUAGAGAGAAACUGUUCCACUCACAGCAUCCAGAAGGAAAAGAUUCAGAAACCAAGUGGCCAUCCCUGAUGUACAGCUGAUUGGACAUGAGUGGGGACUGGGAAGAAAUCGAAAUAAUUUGCUUCUCUCUUCUAAUCAUUCAGGAUGCGACACUGAGAGGCAAUUCCGAAGUCCUAUGUGAAAAUCAUAGAGGAAACUUUUGCAAGAUUUAUCAUGGACACUGAAGAAGAUGAAGAAAAUAUUUUUUGGAAUAGUAGCAUAUUGAUUAAAUAUCAUGGUGAGUGGAAUAACUUUGGUUUAGUGGCUUGGCACAUCAAUAAAAGAAAAAUGCACUCUAUUGGAAUAGUUUCCUAUAUGUCUAUGUCUUCUAAGACUAAAGGGAUGUCACUGUCAUUGGGAAGUAUUUGAUAGAUGCUGAUAAAAUCUAAAUGGUGAUUUGGGGCAUGCCAGUAACAAUCAUGAAUAGAGAUUUAAAGGCUAUAUUUUAGCCCUAUUC